AUACAAAUUUAUAACGUUCCACGCCAUUUUGAAGACGCUGAAAUCUGAGGCAGUCGAUGGUUGCAGUCUCACAAGCUAGAGCGGUCCCAGCGCGAGUCAGCUCAACCGUUGUUUAAUUACCUUGUAAGUUGUAUUGGACUGAAACUCAAGCGUUUAUUGGCUCUAUGAUUUACUCUCACAAAAUUAGACUUUGUUUUGACGCAUUUAAUUGCUUUAAUUUCCACUUGGAUAUCCACAAGUAAUCUAAAGAUAUGUAAUGCUCACAAUCAAGUAUAAGAAUAGAACAGGUGCACGUCGCUCAACUGAGAAUAUUACAGCUGCGGCCCACAGUGUUGAAAAACCCCCAGGUUUGCCUCGUCAUUCUUUGGAAUAGGGCAUUCCACAAACGUGAUUACACCAUAUUUUGCAUAAGGACUUAGGAACUGAAGCCGGCCGAUCAUCAAUAACGUCAGGUCUUUGCUGUGCGGGGAAUUUCAUUGAAAAACUAUCUUGACUGAUGAGGCCUAUUUCCAUC